GACGAACGCUGGCGGCGUGCCUAGUACAUGCAAGUCGAGCGCAGGAAAACGACGGAACCCUUCGGGGGGAAGUCGACGGAAUGAGCGGCGGACGGGUGAGUAACACGUAAAGAACCUGCCCUCAGGUCUGGGAUAACCACGAGAAAUCGGGGCUAAUACCGGAUGGGUCAUCGGACCGCAUGGUCCGAGGAUGAAAGGCGCUUCGGCGUCGCCGGGGGAUGGCUUUGCGGUGCAUUAGCUAGUUGGUGGGGUAAUGGCCCACCAAGGCGACGAUGCAUAGCCGACCUGAGAGGGUGAUCGGCCACACUGGGACUGAGACACGGCCCAGACUCCUACGGGAGGCAGCAGUAGGGAAUCUUCCACAAUGGACGAAAGUCUGAUGGAGCAACGCCGCGUGAACGAUGAAGGCCUUCGGGUCGUAAAGUUCUGUUGUAAGGGAAGAACAAGUGCCGCAGGCAAUGGCGGCACCUUGACGGUACCUUGCGAGAAAGCCACGGCUAACUACGUGCCAGCAGCCGCAGUAA
rnacentral:rRNA from 1 species